UACGAAGGGGGCUAGCGUUGCUCGGAAUUACUGGGCGUAAAGCGCACGUAGGCGGCUUUCUAAGUCGGGGGUGAAAUCCUGGAGCUCAACUCCAGAACUGCCUUCGAUACUGGAGCUCGAGUCCGGGAGAGGUGAGUGGAACUGCGAGUGUAGAGGUGAAAUUCGUAGAUAUUCGCAAGAACACCAGUGGCGAAGGCGGCUCACUGGCCCGGUACUGACGCUGAGGUGCGAAAGCGUGGGGAGCAAACAGG
rnacentral:rRNA from 1 species